rnacentral:misc_RNA from 1 species
UUGAUUUCAAAGGAUGUGCUGGUAACCCCUCACAGGUUGCAUGUGCACUCCGAAAAAUCUCCUUCUCUUACCCCACUGUGCACAAUACAGUAGACAAAACAGAUUCACAGAGCAAUCUGUCCGUAUCAUUUUGUCUAUGUUUUUAUAUCAAACACCAAUGAAUUAUCAGAAUGAUCUAUGCAGUAAGCUUUAACAAGCUGAAAUGUAAUA